UUAACCAGACAUCAGUCCCAAAUCAAUCUGCAGAAUCUCAACCAGAAAACUCUCCUCUACAGUCUGGUCAGCCUCACUAACUAAUCAUUUAAAGUGAUAGUUCACACAUUCACACACACAAAGAAUUACCCAUGUCAGUUCAAAUCAUAUGACUUAUCUGUGGAACAAAUAAAUAAAUAAUAAUAAUCAGUUGGGUUCAGUUUAGACCCCAGCAUUCUUCAAAAAAUAUUUUUGAGCCAUCCCUUUAAGCUUCAUAAUUAUUUUUUCCCUUCAAGACUGCUUUGCUUUUUACCUUUUAUCCUCAAAUGCUUGUUUGCCGUCCAGCAGGUCCUGAUCACAUCUAUGACGACGUGACUGAAGUGAAGAAGAGACACAAAGAUGAUCCAGAGUCAUUUUUGGAGGUCACAUAUUCAGAGGUCUUAUGUUCAUAUUUGGAUAAUGGUAAA